CCCUUAGAUGUCCUGGGCUGCACGCGCGCUACACUGAUGUGUCCAGUAAGCACCUAACCUCUUCCGAAAGGAACGGGUAACCUUUGCAAAGCACAUCGUGAUGGGGAUAGAUUAUUGCAAUUAUUAGUCUUGAACGAGGAAUUCCUAGUAAGCACAAGUCAUCAGCUUGUGUUGAUUACGUCCCUGCCCUUUGUACACACCGCCCGUCGCUCCUACCGAUUGAAUGUUCCGGUGAGCUCUUCGGACUGCGCGGUCUGCAGUUUCUGCGUUCCGUGCGGAAAGUUGCUCAAACCUUAACAUUUAGAGGAAGGAGAAGUCGUAACA
rnacentral:rRNA from 1 species